rnacentral:rRNA from 1 species
GAUGAACGCUGGCGGCGUGCCUAAUACAUGCAAGUCGAGCGAACGGACGAGAAGCUUGCUUCUCUGAUGUUAGCGGCGGACGGGUGAGUAACACGUGGAUAACCUACCUAUAAGACUGGGAUAACUUCGGGAAACCGGAGCUACUACCGGAUAAUAUUUUGAACCGCAUGGUUCAAAAGUGAAAGACGGUCUUGCUGUCACUUAUAGAUGGAUCCGCGCUGCAUUAGCUAGUUGGUAAGGUAACGGCUUACCAAGGCAACGAUGCAUAGCCGACCUGAGAGGGUGAUCGGCCACACUGGAACUGAGACACGGUCCAGACUCCUACGGGAGGCAGCAGUAGGGAAUCUUCCGCAAUGGGCGAAAGCCUGACGGAGCAACGCCGCGUGAGUGAUGAAGGUCUUCGGAUCGUAAAACUCUGUUAUUAGGGAAGAACAUAUGUGUAAGUAACUGUGCACAUCUUGACGGUACCUAAUCAGAAAGCCACGGCUAACUACGUGCCAGCAGCCGCGGUAAUACGUAGGUGGCAAGCGUUAUCCGGAAUUAUUGGGCGUAAAGCGCGCGUAGGCGGUUUUUUAAGUCUGAUGUGAAAGCCCACGGCUCAACCGUGGAGGGUCAUUGGAAACUGGAAAACUUGAGUGCAGAAGAGGAAAGUGGAAUUCCAUGUGUAGCGGUGAAAUGCGCAGAGAUAUGGAGGAACACCAGUGGCGAAGGCGACUUUCUGGUCUGUAACUGACGCUGAUGUGCGAAAGCGUGGGGAUCAAACAGGAUUAGAUACCCUGGUAGUCCACGCCGUAAACGAUGAGUGCUAAGUGUUAGGGGGUUUCCGCCCCUUAGUGCUGCAGCUAACGCAUUAAGCACUCCGCCUGGGGAGUACGACCGCAAGGUUGAAACUCAAAGGAAUUGACGGGGACCCGCACAUGCGGUGGAGCAUGUGGUUUAAUUCGAAGCAACGCGAAGAACCUUACCAAAUCUUGACAUCCUUUGACAACUCUAGAGAUAGAGCCUUCCCCUUCGGGGGACAAAGUGACAGGUGGUGCAUGGUUGUCGUCAGCUCGUGUCGUGAGAUGUUGGGUUAAGUCCCGCAACGAGCGCAACCCUUAAGCUUAGUUGCCAUCAUUAAGUUGGGCACUCUAAGUUGACUGCCGGUGACAAACCGGAGGAAGGUGGGGAUGACGUCAAAUCAUCAUGCCCCUUAUGAUUUGGGCUACACACGUGCUACAAUGGACAAUACAAAGGGCAGCGAAACCGCGAGGUCAAGCAAAUCCCAUAAAGUUGUUCUCAGUUCGGAUUGUAGUCUGCAACUCGACUACAUGAAGCUGGAAUCGCUAGUAAUCGUAGAUCAGCAUGCUACGGUGAAUACGUUCCCGGGUCU